GCGGAGGGAUCAUUACCAGAGUGCCCUAGGCUCUCCAACCCAUUGUGAACUUACCAAACGUUCCCUCGGCGGGCUCAGCGCGCGGUGGCCUCCGGGCCUCCGGGCGUCCGCCGGGGAAAACCAAACCCUGAUUUAAUCGUAUUUCUCUGAGGGGCGAAAGCCCGAAAACAAAAUGAAUCAAAACUUUCAACAACGGAUCUCUUGGCUCUGGCAUCGAUGAAGAACGCAGCGAAAUGCGAUAAGUAAUGUGAAUUGCAGAAUUCAGUGAAUCAUCGAAUCUUUGAACGCACAUUGCGCCCGCCGGCACUCCGGCGGGCAUGCCUGUCCGAGCGUCAUUUCAACCCUCAGGCCCACCCUUCCGGGGGAGCGGGCCUGGUUCUGGGGAUCGGCGGCCCUCGCGGCCCCCGUCCCUCAAAUUCAGUGGCGGUCGCGCCGCAGCCUCCCCUGCGUAGUAGCACAACCUCGCACCGGAGAGCGGAACGACCACGCCGUAAAACACCCAAUUUUUUAAGGUUGACCUCGGAUCAGGUAGGAAUACCCGCUGAACUUAAGCAUAUCAAUAAGCGGAGGAAAAGAAACCAACAGGGAUUGCCUCAGUAACGGCGAGUGAAGCGGCAACAGCUCAAAUUUGAAAUCUGGCCUCACGGUCCGAGUUGUAAUUUGUAGAGGAUGCUUUUGGCGAGGUGCUUUCCGAGUUCCCUGGAACGGGACGCCAUAGAGGGUGAGAGCCCCGUACGG
rnacentral:rRNA from 1 species